UACGUAGGGUGCGAGCGUUAAUCGGAAUUACUGGGCGUAAAGCGUGCGCAGGCGGCUUGCCAAGUCAGAUGUGAAAGCCCCGGGCUCAACCCGGGAACGGCGUUUGAAACUGGCAGGCUAGAGUUUGGCAGAGGGGGGUGGAAUUCCACGGUGUAGCAGUGAAAUGCGUAGAGAUGUGGAGGAACACCGAUGGCGAAGGCAGCCCCCUGGGCCAAAACUGACGCUCAGGCACGAAAGCGUGGGGAGCAAACAGGG
rnacentral:rRNA from 1 species